GGUCACUGCUAUCCGAUUUCGCCUAAGCCAUGCAAGUCUUGGGAAGUUUAUUUUCCAGGGCGGAAAGCUCAGUAACACGUAGUUAAUAUGCCCUUAGGCCUCGUUCAAUCCCGGGAAACUGGGGCCGAGAACGGGAUAGGCAAGGAAUGCUGGAAUGCGUCCUUGCUCAACUAAGGAUUAGACUGCGGCUGAUUAGGUUGUUGGUAAGCUAAAGCCCUAUCAAGCCGAUAAUCAGUACGAGCCUUGAGAGAGGAAGCUCGGAGAUGGAUUCUGAGACAACAAUCCAGAUCCUACGGGAUGCAGCAGGCGCGAAAAUUUCACAAUGCACGCAAGUGUGAUGGAGGAAUUCGGAGUGCUAUUCCAUUUUUGGAGUAGUUUUUGCGCACCUUAAAUAAGUGCGAGAAUAAGUGGUGGGUAAUACGGGUGCCAGCCGCCGCGGUAAUACCCGAGCCACAAGUGGUGACCGCUUUUAUUGGGUUUAAAACAUUCGUAGCCGGUCUGAUAAGCUCCCGGUGAAAUAUCACAGUUAACUGUGGUGCUUGCCGGGGAGACUGUCAGACUAGAGACCGGGAGAAGUCAAGGGUACUGUCGGGGUAGGGGUAAAAUCCUGUAAUCCUGACAGGACCGCCUGUGGCGUAAGUUAUUCUGGAUUUAUUUUUGGAAUAGCUUCCGUACAAGGCGCUUGACCAGAACGGAUCUGACGGUGAGGGAUGAAAGCUAAGGGAGCGAAGCGGAUUAGAUACCCGCGUAGUCUUAGCUGUAAACGAUACCCACUAGUUACUGGGGGUCUCAAGGGGGUCCCCAAUGACGUAGGGAAACCGUUAAGUGGGUUACCUGGGGAGUACGUUCGCAAGGAUGAAACUUAAAGGAA
rnacentral:rRNA from 1 species